rnacentral:lncRNA from 1 species
GGGUGUUUCUGGAUGAAAUUAGCAUUUGAAUCCAUAGACUGAGUAAAGCAGAUCACCCUCCCUAGUGUGGGUGGGCUACGUCCAAUGCCUUGAGGGUCUGAAUAGAACAAAAAAAUUGGAGAGUGGGAGAAUUAACUCUCUGCCUGACUGACUGAGCCGGAAUAUUGGUUUUCUCCUGCCUUUGGACCGGGACCACCAGCCUUCUGAUUCUCAGACCUUUGGACUUGGACCAAACUACAUCACCAUCUUCUCCUGGGUCUCCAGCUUGCAGCCAGCACGUUGUGGGACUUUUCAGCCUCCGAAAUCACCCAAGAAGAGCCCACCUUCUCUGAAAGAAUUUGUUGUCAUGCGACAGCAAGACCUCAAAGGCAACCUGACUGGCUUCUGGGUGAAGAACCGCUAGUGCCCUGUUGCUUCAUGAAUGCUAAGAGACAUCACAGGUUAGAGGAAAAGAGAUAAGAAUAAGAGAAUAAUAAGCUGCAGAAGCCCACACUACUGAUCUGGCCACAAUUUCCCCAACUUCCUCUUGCAACUCAGGACAGCUUCCAGGAAAGCUUGUACAGGAUCUAGUCUUUCUGUAAGGAAUUGCUCACUCAUGAUGAGAUUCAGCAAUCCAACUUUAAUGUCAGACUAUGUGGUAAGUGCUUUCUUGUGCUUUGCUAUUACUCGUAAUGAUGAAAACACAAUUUUCUAAAGUUGAAAUGGAAUGCUGAUGAUAUGAAAAGAUUUUGCAUUGAUAUUUAAAUGACUGAAAUAUAUAAUUAGUAUUAAAACGC